GUGCAUCUGUUUUUUCAGCUCAUUAGUGUGUGCCUCUGUGUGUGUGUGUGUGUGUGUCUGUGUGUGUGUGUGUGUGAGACUUUAAUGUACUGUAGGGUCUUCUUCAGAAGAGGUUACCACUGACACACCUUAGCUGAUGGCCAGAAAGGAGGAAGUGGGCAGAGCCAACCUGAAGACUUUCCGCAGCCUCUCAGUGGAAGAAGAGCAGACUCAACACUUCCUUAUGAGAGAACGUGAGGAGAGUAUUGAUCUGCCAUGUCUAAAAUUUCCUGACCAUCCAGAGGAGCUGAUCACUCAUCCAGUUAUUAAAUCAGGCUGGCUCGAUAAAACUCCCCCCAAAGGGGGGAGGAGGUUUCAGAAGCGCUGGGUUCAACUGGAUUCUGAGUAUCUGAGAUAUUUUCAAAACAAUAAGGUU
ensembl:lncRNA